AUGCCCUUUGCCGAUUGAUUUUUCUUUAUUGUAUUGAUCAGCUUUGCCAAGUCAUUUGUGGUAUUUAGCAUUCUCAAAUUUUUAUAUUUAGCUAAAUUUAAUCUUGACCUGAUUUGCUCUGCCCAAUACACGCAUGAUGCCUUUUCUUUUCCAUCAACUGGAUGCAAGAUUAGUUUACCCUUUAGACUUUGUGUUAGAUUAGCCUUUCCUGUAUAUCUUUGAUGGAUCAACUGUGUUCGAUUGUAGGUACUGUAUAUACGUUCUUUGAUGGAUCAGCUGCG
rnacentral:lncRNA from 1 species